rnacentral:rRNA from 1 species
GACGAACGCUGGCGGCGUGCUUAACACAUGCAAGUCGAACGGAAAGGCCCUGCUUGCCGGGUACUCGAGUGGCGAACGGGUGAGUAACACGUGGGUGAUCUGCCCUGCGCUUCGGGAUAAGCCUGGGAAACUGGGUCUAAUACCGGAUAGGAGCCAUUUUUAGUGUGAUGGUUGGAAAGUUUUUUUCGGUGUAGGAUGAGCUCGCGGCCUAUCAGCUUGUUGGUGGGGUAAUGGCCUACCAAGGCGGCGACGGGUAGCCGGCCUGAGAGGGUGGACGGCCACAUUGGGACUGAGAUACGGCCCAGACUCCUACGGGAGGCAGCAGUGGGGAAUAUUGCACAAUGGGCGCAAGCCUGAUGCAGCGACGCCGCGGGGGGGAUGACGGCCUUCGGGUUGUAAACUCCUUUCGCUAGGGACGAAGCUUUUUGUGACGGUACCUAGAUAAGAAGCACCGGCUAACUACGUG